rnacentral:lncRNA from 1 species
AAUGUAAAAAACCCCAACAAGAAUUACAACCCAGUAUAAACCCCAACUUGUUUUUUUUUUUUUUUCCUUUUUCUUAUCCUAAACAGCAAACCCAACAGCAAAGAAACUACAGUUGACUGUUGACUCUUGAUCAGAUGUUUCGUAUGAACCCACAAAUAAAAAUGGUGGGUGAUCUAAAAAGGUGAAUUUUCUUUUGUUUUGUUUUUCUUCUUCUGUUUCUUUUUUUUUUUUCGGGGUUCAGGGUAAUUAAUGUAAGAAAUUAAGGGAAAGAAAACGCUCCAGGAAUCAGAAAAUAAUAUCCAAGGAGUAGAACUUUCCAAGAUUCAAAUCUGAUAGUAUCUACACCCAAAAUCUAUCACCAUAAAACAACAAGAUUUUGCAGCAGCAACAACAAAUUAAGUUUCUUUUUCUUUAGAUAACAGUUAGAAGAAAAAAAAAUUAGAAACGAAAAGGCACUAAAAUUUAACCGAUCCCAGAUUCAUCAAGAAUGCAUCCGCAGAUCGACAGAAGCAUAUCAAGAAUCAAGAAAAGUGUAAAUGAAGUGAAAGAAAGAUUUAAAUAAGAGGCAAAAUGAGAAUGAAAAGAAGGAAGAGAAUAAUAAGUACGGAGAAGUUUAUGGAAUUUGCACGCAUCUCUAUGGUUUCUUUUCUCUUCUUCUCUACUUCUCUUUCUUCUAAUGCUACUAACACCAUCUUUUCUGGUUUCUUCACUUUCAUCUCUUUAAUCUCUAUUCUUUAUCUUUCUCUUUCUCUUUCUCUUUCUCUCUCUAUUUUCUUUUUAUUUUUCCUCAAAUAAAAGCAAAGCACUCACUCUCUCUCUCUCUCUCUCUCUCUCCUUUUGUUUAAAUAGAAUUUCAUGAUCUUGAAUUCUCUUUCUCUUUCAUUCUCUACACUUCCUUUCUUGCCAUUUGGAUUAGGGUUUUUAUGUUCUCUCUCUUCUUUUUAUUGGUUGCUUUUUGAACUCUUAUUAUUUGUGCAAGUAUUCUCUGUUCAUUGGUCAGCCAUUAAUACAAUAUAGAUGCUUAAUUCCUCUUUUUCUUUUCUUUUUCAAUUUUCUUUUUUGGAUUAGGCUGCGCAGUGAAUGAUAGUAAUUUAUUAAUCAAAUAGCAAUGCUCAUUC